GACGAACGCUGGCGGCGUGCUUAACACAUGCAAGUCGAACGGAAAGGCCUCUUUCGGGGGGUACUCGAGUGGCGAACGGGUGAGUAACACGUGAGUAACCUGCCCUUGACUUUGGGAUAACUUCCGGAAACUGGGGCUAAUACCGGAUAGGAGCUCCUGCUGCAUGGUGGGGGUUGGAGAGUUUCGGCGGUUGGGGGUGGCCUCUCGGCUUAUCCGCUUGUUGGUGGGGUGGUGGCUUACCAAGGCUUUGCCGGGUAGCCGGCCUGUGAGGGUGACUGGCCACAUUGGGACUGAGAGACGGCCCAGACUCCUACGGGAGGCAGCAGUGGGGAAGAUUGCACAAGGGGUGGAAGCCUGAUGCAGCAACGCCGUGGGCGGGAGGACGGCCUUAGGGUUGUAAACCGCUUUCGCUCAUGACGAAGCUUUGUGUGACGGUAGUGGGUAAAGAAGCACCGGCUAACUACGUG
rnacentral:rRNA from 1 species